rnacentral:lncRNA from 1 species
CCCCAUCCACCUCCACCCCAAAACCCCUUACCCCUAUUCGAUCAAAACUCUCCUCUACCACCACCGCCACCGUCUCAACCUCUGUCUCAUCCACCCGCCGCCGUGAAUUCCUCUCUCUGGCUGCCGGAAUCCUUACUCCGGCAUUGCUCCUACCUGCCACGUCAGCAUUCGCUGCUUCCGACGAGGAGUACGUGAGGGAAGCUUCGGAAGUGAUUAAGAAAGUGAGG